AUAUGCAGCGGAAAGACAUGUGCAUAUCCCGUUCAUCGCAUGAACGUAUUUUAAAACCAUUUAUAGAUAGAUUAGGAUUAAAUUCUUAUUAAAUCAUUUUAAAAUCAUGAUUAAGAAGAUCAGAUCUUCACCUUGUGCGGGUAGAUGGUCUCCGCAAAUCUGAUUCACGUGGUAUUUGAUGAGGGUUCAGUGGAAGCCGCACACGCGUCCGGCCUCUACGGGUAUCCACACGAAGUAGUGAGUCGAUCGAAGCCUUUGGAUCUCCCCGAGGUGCUAGCUCCCUUGCAGAGAAGGCUAUUGAUGGCUGAUAUCCUUCCUAUCAAUCAACUCUUGAAUGCCUAAGGGAGGAGG
rnacentral:lncRNA from 1 species